CAUUCUCUUACUUGCUACUAUUAUCUCUCCUUAUCCUCCAAUCUCCUCUGACUUGAUCGUCGGAGGGCCCCCGCUACCCCAGUGGUGGUGCGAGGCUUGCUUGCAGGUUUUUCGGUGGAAGGUGGAGCGCAAUCAACACCAACCAAGGCAACUCAAACGGAACCCCGUUCACACCGCUGUGCCAAUCGUUCUCGGUUUGGACCACCAGCAACAGUUGGCGCUAGAAGGAGGGCACGAAUCUCAGAGCGAUCGUAAUGGCACGGCGAGGUGGUCGUGGAGCUUCCAAUGCCUCCGGUCGCGGGGCCUCUCGCGUCUCCGGCCGGGAGGCCGCUGCGUCUCCAACACAUUCUCAGCAACACUCCACCGCUCCACCUCCCAUUCAGAUGGUCGAAGCCGCUCA
rnacentral:lncRNA from 1 species